rnacentral:rRNA from 1 species
GACGAACGCUGGCGGCGUGCUUAACACAUGCAAGUCGAACGGAAAGACCCUGCUUUUGUGGGGUGCUCGAGUGACGAACGGGUGAGUAACACGUGAGUAACCUGCCCUUGACUUUGGGAUAACUUCAGGAAACUGGGGCUAAUACCGGAUAGGAGCUCCUGCUGCAUGGUGGGGGUUGGAAAGUUUCGGCGGUUGGGGAUGGACUCGCGGCUUAUCAGCUUGUUGGUGGGGUAGUGGCUUACCAAGGCUUUGACGGGUAGCCGGCCUGAGAGGGUGACCGGCCACAUUGGGACUGAGAUACGGCCCAGACUCCUACGGGAGGCAGCAGUGGGGAAUAUUGCACAAUGGGCGGAAGCCUGAUGCAGCAACGCCGCGUGCGGGAUGACGGCCUUCGGGUUGUAAACCGCUUUCGCCUGUGACGAAGCGUGAGUGACGGUAAUGGGUAAAGAAGCACCGGCUAACUACGUG